CCAUUAUCGAACGUUGGCCGUUGGGAUUUGCUUCGACGAGGGAUACGGAUAAAAUACAAGCGUAAAACCUCGUUCGUUGCAGUAUAUUUUGGACAAAUAAACAAUUUAUUAGGAAAAUACGUUCAAGAAACGUCUCGUGCUGUACUAGCCUAAUUCUGGCAAAUGUUAUUUACUUUCUUCACCUUCGUGUCGAAGACUGUUGUUUGCUGAUGGCCAAAUCACGACAGCGGACAUCAAUUAUUCAAAAUAUGUUCUUAUAGCUUCACGUUUACGAUACGAAACACGUUUUAAUGUAAGAUUAUUUAUUUUUUGUAUAUGUAGGUUGUAGUUGAAAGUGACAACGACAAAUUGAAAAAAGUGCAAACAACAUUGAAAUAUCCAGUUCACUACUAGCUCAAAUCCUGCGACAUAUCACUUGCUAGUAGCCCAGUCUAGUUUAACUUUUCCCAAUCAAGAAUCAUCUCCUGAAUCAGGCAUACUGGCAACACUGGUUCAUUUGAUAAUGUAAGUUUUUAAACUGGUAUUUUAGAUUAUAGCCUCGGUCAAAUGAGGAUGAAAGUCAUGCAUGAAUUGCUUAUAAAUACACAAAGGACAUUUCAAGUUCCACAUGAACAAAAUAUUAUUAAAGCUUUGAUGAGUGUUCCAACUAUGUUUCAACUUAAUUAAAAUACUCUCAUCCUCGUUUGAUCCAUAAUUAUUUGUUGAUUUUACUCGAUACUAAAUAGUGAAACAUCGAAUCCAGAUAAAAUCUUAUGCAGAACCCACUGUAAUUCCGAGC